rnacentral:rRNA from 1 species
AUUGAACGCUGGCGGCAGGCCUAACACAUGCAAGGAGAGCGAGCGGCGGACGGGUGAGUAAGGACUGGGAAACUGCCUGAUGGAGGGGGAUAACUAAGGGAAACGGGAGCUAAUACCGCAUAACAUCAGAUGUGCCCAGAUGGGAUUAGCUAGUAGGUGGGGUAACGGCUCACCUAGGGGACGAGCCCUAGCUGGUCUGAGAGGAUGACCAGCCACCCUGGAACUUAGACACGGUCCAGACUCCUACGGGAGGCAGCAGUGGGGAAUAUUGCACAAUGGGCGCAAGCCUGCUGCAGCCAUGCCGCUUGUAUGAAGAAGGCCUUCGGGUUGUAAAGUACUUUCAGCGGGGAGGCGUUACCCGCAGAAGAAGCACCGGCUAACUCCGUGCCAGCCGCCGCGGUAAUUC